GGGCUGUUGGGGUAGUGGUAUCCUAGAUGGACUUCAUCGCGAGGUACCCUCAUUUAAAUAAAUCACCAAGUGGAGGUUCGAACCUUUCCCAGCCCA